rnacentral:rRNA from 1 species
AACGAACGCUGGCGGCAGGCCUAACACAUGCAAGUCGAACGCUGUAGCAAUACAGAGUGGCAGACGGGUGAGUAACGCGUGGGAACCUUCCCAAUGGUACGGAAUAGCUCAGGGAAACUUGAGGUAAUACCGUAUAAGCCCCUAGGGGGAAAGAUUUAUCGCCUUUAGAGCGGCCCGCGUCUGAUUAGCUAGUUGGUGAGGUAAAGGCUCACCAAGGCGACGAUCAGUAGCUGGUCUGAGAGGAUGAUCAGCCACAUUGGGACUGAGACACGGCCCAAACUCCUACGGGAGGCAGCAGUGGGGAAUCUUGCGCAAUGGGCGAAAGCCUGACGCAGCCAUGCCGCGUGAAUGAUGAAGGUCUUAGGAUUGUAAAAUUCUUUCACCGGGGACGAUAAUGACGGUACCCGGAGAAGAAGCCCCGGCUAACUUCGUGCCAGCCGCCGCCGUAA